GACGAACGCUGGCGGCGUGCCUAACACAUGCAGGUCGAGCGAGUGGAUCUCCUUCGGGAGUGAAGCUAGCGGCGGACGGGUGAGUAACACGUGGGCAACCUGCCUCAUAGAGGGGAAUAGCCUUUCGAAAGGAAGAUUAAUACCGCAUAAGAUUGUAGCUUCGCAUGAAGUAGCAAUUAAAGGAGCAAUCCGCUAUGAGAUGGGCCCGCGGCGCAUUAGCUAGUUGGUGAGGUAACGGCUCACCAAGGCGACGAUGCGUAGCCGACCUGAGAGGGUGAUCGGCCACAUUGGGACUGAGACACGGCCCAGACUCCUACGGGAGGCAGCAGUGGGGAAUAUUGCACAAUGGGGGAAACCCUGAUGCAGCAACGCCGCGUGAGUGAUGACGGCCUUCGGGUUGUAAAGCUCUGUCUUCAGGGAAGAUAGUGACGGUACCUGACUAAGAAGCCCCGGCUAACUACGUGCCAGCCGCCGCAGUAA
rnacentral:rRNA from 1 species